GCUGAGUGGCGAACGGGUGAGUAACACGUGAGUAACCUGCCCUUGACUUUGGGAUAACUUCAGGAAACUGGGGCUAAUACCGGAUAGGAGCUCCUGCUGCAUGGUGGGGGUUGGAAAGUUUCGGCGGUUGGGGAUGGACUCGCGGCUUAUCAGCUUGUUGGUGGGGUAGUGGCUUACCAAGGCUUUGACGGGUAGCCGGCCUGAGAGGGUGACCGGCCACAUUGGGACUGAGAUACGGCCCAG
rnacentral:rRNA from 1 species